AAUCAACGCUGGCGGCGUGCCUAACACAUGCAAGUCGAACGAGAAAGUGGGGGCAACUCCAUGAGUAAAGUGGCAGACGGGUGAGUAACACGUGAACAACCUACCCUCGAGUGGGGAAUAACACCGCGAAAGCGGUGCUAAUACCGCAUAAUAUCUCCGGGUUGCAUGAUCUGGAGAUCAAAAGCGCAAGUUGCUUGAGGAGGGGUUCGCGCCUGAUUAGCUAGUUGGUGAGGUAACGGCCCACCAAGGCAACGAUCAGUAGCCGGCCUGAGAGGGCGAACGGCCACACUGGAACUGAGACACGGUCCAGACUCCUACGGGUGGCUG
rnacentral:rRNA from 1 species